rnacentral:rRNA from 1 species
GGUAACGGGGAAUUAGGGUUCGAUUCCGGAGAGGGAGCCUGAGAAACGGCUACCACAUCUAAGGAAGGCAGCAGGCGCGCAAAUUACCCAAUCCUAAUACAGGGAGGUAGUGACAAGAAAUAACAAUACAGGACUUUUUGGUUUUGUAAUGGAAUGAGU